ACUCUGAUAUCACCAAAGUGGUAUCAACCCUCUCAGCUAUCUGGACCUGACACGGACUCUAGGACUGAAGAGACAUUUUUCUUAAAAGAAUAAACUAGAGUGACUAAAGCAAGGACAAAUCCCUGUCCUUACUUCUGGACUGUGGAGUAGGAGCUUCCUCACAAACUUUCUUCUGGAAGAGCAGAGGGAUGCUAAUGAGGCUAAGGAAAUUCACAGGAAACUCAGGAAGCUCACCAACAAGACACUUCCUAUGAGUUGUAUAAGCAGCGUGGAGAAGAGACACUUUCCUGAAGGUCUAGCAAACUGCACCCGGAACUCAAAAGAACCCACUUUUGCUGAGCUGUCUGACACCCAUGACACCCAUUCUAGCAUGAACUCUCGGGUGGUGCAACUGUCUGAGUCACCUGUGCUCCUGUAAGUAAGUAAUAAACUCGUGGAUUCCCCACGGUAGACGGGCAGAAUGGUUUUUGGUCUGUUGCCAGCACCCUGUCUGAGGUGCUUGGUCAUGUCUAUGAAUCUUCCCAGGGAAAGUCAUACAACAUGGACCACCUAUUUAUUGCUUUUGCAAACAAGUCAAGGAAAUGUAUCUUUCCUUUUUCAAAAAAAAGUUUUUUUGUGUAUGGUUCCUUUAAAGGAACCAAAACUGGUACUGGUCAGAACCAGAAGUUGUUUCAAAACCCUGUAAAAUGUUCCUACUCCUAACACCAAAUUUCAAGGAUAACACAAACCACUCUAGUGGGAUUAUCUGUACUGGGCUGCUCAGCCUUAUCCACUUACACACACCUGGCUGGGCCAGUGAGGAGACUCCGAAGGUAAAAAGCAGUAGACACACAAGUCUGAUAACCUGAGUUUAAUGCCUACCACCCUUAAUGGAAGGAGAGAACCAACUCCCGAAAGGUAUCCUCUGACUCCACAUCAAUGAAGUGGCACACAAACAUCCAUACUCGCAUACACACAUGCCUGCCCCCCCCUCCCCCAUGAGAUUGAAAGGCAGAAGUGAAUGGUGAAGAGAGGAUUACAGAAGACUAAAUUUGAGUCAGGAAAUUGGAAGUCCUUGGGGGUAGUCUCUUGGCAUUGUGUCUUGAAGCAUAUGGGGCCUUGAAGAGCCUCCUGUGUCAGAGUAAGGAAGUCUCUGGAUAGGACAAGACUGAAACCUCUUCCAUUAAAAGGCCUAAUGACUAGAAAGGAAAGGUCAAGGCGGUCUAGGUGCUCAUCUUUGAGCCCACUUACCCCUCUAACAUCCCAAUCCCACCUGGUGUUCUGGUCAGUCCCGACACUGGCUGAGGUCUGGAGAACACAUACUCACAUGGUGUUAAUAAUCUUGAUGAAGAUGCUGCAGUCCUGGAGCUGCAGCACUGUCUCCACGGGGUCAGCAACAUGCAGACUGUUCACCUACGACCCAAAUGGAAGAAUCUGGUGAGACACUUAAAAAUGCCAGAAGCAUGCAGUUCACAGCAUCCCCCAGAUGCUAGCACCAUCUAAUUCCCUAGCUUCUACCUCCCCAGUGCUGGGGUUGCUACACCAGGCCGCCAAGAUUCUUAACCUAUACCCACUCAGCCAGUGAGUGUACCCAUACAGUCACCGUAGACAAACCGACUAUCAGGCUUUCACCAUUAAGAGCCUGCGAGGAGAGCUUCCCCAGAGUCCUGGAGCACACUCAGUGCAAUGGAAAGACUUAGAUCUAGCAGCAAGACUCAGCAGAUAACUGCACCCACCCCACAAGGCCAACGAGUUCAGACCUCUGCUUUGUACAUAUUGUACACACUAAACUAAUAAACAAGUAACAGUAAAACAGUAACUGUUUGCAAACAUAUGCUUUAGUCUAGAGGAAAGAGGAAGAAACAAUGAAAGAAAUAAGUUGUUUUUUAAAAGAAAAAGCAGCUCAAUUCUCACUUAUGAUGCAACUGCCUGUUCUUUUUAACGCUACAAAAUUCAUCACGGGUCACACACAAAUAUUUCAAGUACACAAGAUAUCCAACAGCAUUUGCAGCUAACUUCUAUAGGAGAGUCCAUAAAUUAAUUCCAUAAGCACUUGGGCUCAAAUUUACCUCUAGUCCUGCUAAUUAACUACAUUUGUAGCAAAAAGAAGGGAAGAAGACAAGGACUACUUAGGAACGAGGCUGUCAGUCUCUUAACGAUUUCAGAAGGUGGUUAUGUGAAAUCAGCUAGGGUCUACUGUUUGUAAAUGUGCUCUUUAAAGAGCAAUAGGCUUAGAUCCACUGAGAUGGCUCAGUAGAUAGACAGACGCACUUGCUGCCAAGCCUGUCCACCUGAGUUCCAUCUCUAGGUCCAACACAGGAGAAAAAGAGAACCAACUACUGUAAGCUGUCUUCUGACUCUACACACACAGGUACUCAAGCACAUACAAAAUAAGUGUCUAAAAAUUGAAGCAGUAGGUUAAGUCAGCACAGUAGUACAUGCCUACAACCUCAGCCCCUGGGAAGCUGAGAAAGAAGGAUCACUGGUAGUUCAGGAUAGUAUGGGCUACACAGCAAGGUCCUAGCCCUCACAUACAUAUAUCUUAAGAUAAUGAAAUAGGCUGAUGAAGGGGAUGGCUGAGCAAUUAAAGAGCACUGACUGCUCUUGCAGAGGGCCUGGGUUCAACUCCAGCACCCACAUGGCAGUUCACAACCAUCUGUAAACUCCAGGUACCUUCUCAGGCACCAGGCAAGCCUAUGGUACACAGACAUAUGUACAGGCAAAACAAAACAAAACAAAACAAAACACCCUAUACAUAUAAAAAUGAACUAAUUAAAUUUGAAAAAAUAGGGGGCUGGAAAAGAUGGCUCGAGGGUGAGUCUUCUGGAGGACCUGAGUCAAUUCCCAGCACCCACACCAGGCAGCUCACUGUCAGUUCCAAAAGCCCCACACCACCCCUAUCUCUGCCAUUCCUUUCUCCCUAAAAGCAGUGCCUAAACAGAAAGAUUAUUAUUGUGUAAACAAGCUUAAAGGUUCCUGAUUACUAGAAAAACAGACCUUUUAAGAUUUUUCUGUGGAUAAGAAACCACCAUUAAUUCUUCAGGAACCUCCCUUUACCUUCCUCCAUCAGUUCAGAACCCCACCCUGAUGACGGCCAUAUAAAAUCUACUUGCUUAUUUGCCAUUUGCUCUUCCCGGAUCCCACCCCUACAGAUGGCUGUGAUGGUUUGAGUAAAAAUGGCCCCCACAGGACCACAGGGAGUGGCACUAUUAAGAGGUGUGGCCUUGUUGGAGGAAGUAUGUUUCAGUUCUUUUGCUGCUGCCUGUGGAUCAAGUCCAGAACUCUCAGCUCCUUCUCCAGCACCAUGUCUGCCUGCAUGCUACCAUGCUCCAUGCUAACAAUGGACUAAAUCUCUGAACUGCAAUCCAGCCCCAAUGAAAUGUUUUCCUUUAUAAGAGUUGCUGUAGUCAGGGCUGGUGAGAUGGCUCAGCGGUUAAGAGCACUGACUGCUCUUCUGGAGGUCAUGAGUUCAAAUCCCAGCAACCAUAUGGUGGCUCACAACCAUCCUUAAUCAGAAACAAAUUUAAAAAAGAAAAAAAAAAAAAAAACCCUAUGGGUCGGAGCGAGCGGGGCAGGAGCAAAAGGGAAGCGCGCGGGGGUAGGGGUGGGGGUUGGGGGGGGGAUGACUUGCUGUAGUCAUGGUGUCUCUUCACAGCAACAGAAAUCUUAAUGACCUUGGCUGUUUGGUCCUCUAUGAAUCUUUCUUUCUGCCCACAAAGCAGCCUGGUUUCAUAGUUUCUCUGUGCCAUCACUUACACUUGAAAUCUGGGAGGGACACUUAACCCUCCAGCAAGUCCUGUCCCUCCUGGCUGAAUCAAGCUGCUCAUGCUUGACCCUUCCGGGUCAGAUCACUGCUGCUGGCUCCUGCCACCUACCAUAUUCAACUCCAAUUUCAAAGUCCACCUCUUCAGCGGCUUCCCCUUCACCUACUAUAACAAUUUGUCUCUUCUGCCUCAGCAGAGCUGCCUGCUCUGUCUCUCAGCGCAUGGAGUCUAUCACAAGGUUGUGCUGGUAUCAAGCAGCCUCCCUACACCCUUUUGGGUGUCCCAUCUUGUGGAAGACGGACAUCCCUCCUCUGACCCUGAGCUUCUCUCUGACACAUCUCUAGGUCCACCCAGAGACACACAGGAUUGAAAUUCUUGUCAAAACAGCACUCAACCCUCUGAGCCCCUCCCAUUUCCUUGCUCCGCCCCCCGAUUCCCUCCCCACCUGUCUCAGCUCCCUCCUGGCACUUACACAUGACUGUAUUAGCCAUGACUGCUAACUGUAUUCAACAACAAGCUUCUAAAAAGACUGUUUUAAGGUAAGGAGCAUGUUUAAUGAAUACGGUUUAUGAAUUCCUAAGGUCCUUUCAGGUAGCAGAAACUGACCUGAAGAUGUGUGCCUCCUUGUCUUGCCAACUUGCUACGCUCCAGCUAUGUGGAGAGACUGUAAAGAUGCACUAUGAAAACAAUCACAAGAGAAAAGCUCCUAGUCUCUCUGUGAACUUUAUGGUUUAAAGUUUAUUCUGAUGCUAAGGAAUCCUCAAUUGAAAUUUUUAAGGCUCAAACUCAAUAGGAAUAAAUCUGUAAAAUCCUAAUCUUAUAAAAGGUACUAACUUUGUUAUAAAUUGUUAAAGAUAAUUAAGACAUGCAAGAUAAUGGUAAGCUUAAGCCUUCUGUCCAUGUUGUCAGGUUAAGCCUAAGACAAUUAAAAGAAAAUAAAUGCCUGCUCCCGAUGGAAGCCCUGAGGUCUUCUCCAGAAGAUGGGGCAGUGGACUUCACUUGGAACUUGCUUCCACGUGGCUGCAAUAAUUACUAGGUGAAGAACUUCCUUCAUCUUACCCACCACCAGGAACCUGCCCAAACCGUGGACACGAGACAAAUAUAAAAAUAUACUUCCCGUCCUUGCCUUGCCAAGGUGGGUCAGUUCCCCAAGUUCCUCUGCUGGGAAAACUCUUGCAUCUUCUGGACCUGGAAGCCUACAACCCUGGGACCUCUGACCCCCAACAAAGCCAUGGAGAUCACCAUGGAGGAUCCCAGGUCGGCUGCGUUAGAAGCCAAUAAGUCUCUGCCAUCUAAAUUGAUACAGAGGGAAUCUGGUCUAUACAUCAUACUCAAAUGUAUCCUCAGAUUUCUGUGAUGGAGUCGAUGCUGGGCUCCAGCUACACUACACUACACUACAGUACCACUACACUACAGUACCACUACAGCCAACCUCAACCAGCGCCUCCCUGUAGGCUGUAAUUGCCAGAUUAUAAAGCUAGACAGACCUGCCCUACAGUGUGUGACACAGGCAGGCCAUACACAUCUGUACCUGCUUGCCAACAUGCCACACAGAAGGGACAGAAGAUGCCAUUCAGGUGCCUGCCAGCCAUGAGGCCAGCCUGCACCAGGAGCCACCACAAUGUGUAAGUCUGUGGUGGUCUGAUAGGAGAGAAAGAGUGGAGCAGCUUAAGUAUUAUGAAGAUGGAACUAGAGACUCCAGGAUGGAAAGGAAUAGCCUGUUGUGAGUUGCCAGCCCUGCCUCCUGGGCUCAUGGUGAGGUCCCAGCCAGAGCUGCUGCUGAGGGCCAUGUCUGAGUCUGUGGCUCCAUAGAGGCAAGGGUCAUUAUCAAUGCCCAUGGCUCAUACUACUACAAGAGAACAUGGGGAUAUCCCUGGUCAGGGCAGCCAUGAAGGAGCACCUGGAUGUCUAGAGACUGUGCAAAACUGACCCUGCCCCUCACUGGAUGUGGUGCUCUGAGAGCUGGCCCUGAUGCCCUGGUGAGCCAGUCCUGAGAGUAUGUGUGGGAGAGCUGACACUGCCAUGGGGUAGCACAGGUGCAGAGGUGAUGCCCCCUGCCCCUGACACCUCAGGUAGGAUAGCUACCAACAGGGUCAGAAGCUUGGGAAAGCUAGCCCUAAACAUCACCUGGACAGCACAGCAGAGAUGACUCUGGUCAGGGCUCAGGUGAGCCAGCCCCAAGUACAAGAACAUGAGAGAACUGGCCCCUUCACUCAUCAUUCUCUGGUGUGAGGUGACAUAGGUACUCUUUGCUACCUGUGGCAGUUGGGAGAGGUGGC